AGGCGGGGGCCGUUUCCAUAGCGGCGGCAGGAGGUGUCGCGCCGGGGAACUUCCUGGUUCCCGGGCUCGGCUUCGCCGGGAUUAUCUUGGAAGGGAAACAAUGGGGCGGAGGGCACUGCGGUAGCCGCUCGCCGCACCGCCCGACCUGCUCGGCCGCCUGGGACUGCGCGCUCCGCCUGCUGCCCGUAACCUCCGCCGGGACCGUCCGGAGAAUGAGAAGACAUUACCUGGGAAUCUGUCCUGACAUACAUGGUGGAACUAAGGAACUGAGAAUCUGAAUUGAGAGGAAGAAUAGGACAUGUAUUCCUCUGAGAAACCCUGGACAGUAGAUUUUGGUUUAAUAGUGGAUUGGGACAACAUACAGAGACAUUUCCAGUCAUGAGUAAGUGUUCUGUUUUGUUUCAUUUCUGUUGUCUCAGGAGCAUUUGUA